UACUUGGAGGGGAGGGUACUACGGGGCUCAGGCAGUCCAGAGAGGUAGCCAGCAUGAGCCUCUAAAUGUAGGCAAAUUAUUCUGAGAUUCUGAAAGGAGUUGAUAGAAAUAUCACAGCACUGCUAUAAAUUUGAUUAUUCAAAGACUCAGGCAAGCUGUAAUUGUUUCCUCAGAUACUACCAUAGAGACUGAUAUAGACAAGGAUAUAAAGCAACAUUCUGCCGUUCCUGGAAGAGACUGCUUUGAGAGGACUGCCCUCUGGUUUCAUGGCUGAGGGAUCCUAAUGAAACCCAUCACUGCAUUUGCAGGCAGUAUAAUAG
rnacentral:lncRNA from 1 species